rnacentral:lncRNA from 1 species
GUUUCACGCGGGAGCUUCGGAAAGAGGAAUCGGGUUAAAAUUCCUGAAACCGGGGGACUGGCGGGUGACGGCAACGUCUGGGAUUCCGGGAGACGUCGGCGGGGGGCCUCGGGAAGAGUUAUCUUUUCUGUUUAACAGCCUGCCCACCCUGGGAAAACGACUCAGUCGGAGGUAGGUUCCAGCGGCUGGAAGAAGCAGCCGCACGGUUCGCGCGGGUUGUCCGUGCGGCCUCCGGCGGCCUUGAAAAUCCGGGGGGACCGAGGUGCCUUUCCCACGCCCGUGUUAAUAUAAACCGCAUCGGGUCUCCGAGAUGUGAAAGCCUCUGGUCGAAUGGAACAAUGU